rnacentral:rRNA from 1 species
AGCGAACGCUGGCGGCAGGCCUAAAACAUGCAAGUCGAACGCCGUAGCAAUACGGAGUGGCAGACGGGUGAGUAACACGUGGGAACGUGCCUUUUGGUUCGGAACAACACAGGGAAACUUGUGCUAAUACCGGAUAAGCCCUUCGGGGGAAAGAUUUAUCGCCAGAAGAUCGGCCCGCGUCUGAUUAGCUAGUUGGUGGGGUAAUGGCCCACCAAGGCUACGAUCAGUAGCUGGUCUGAGAGGAUGAUCAGCCACACUGGGACUGAGACACGGCCCAGACUCCUACGGGAGGCAGCAGUUAGGAAUCUUGGACAAUGGGCGCAAGCCUGAUCCAGCCAUGCCGCGUGAGUGAUGAAGGCCUUAGGGUUGUAAAGCUCUUUCAGCGGGGAAGAUAAUGACGGUACCCGCAGAAGAAGCCCCGGCUAACUUCGUGCCAGCAGCCGCGGUAAU